GCUUCACUCUGCCGGGGUUUCAUAUCACAGAGAGAGUGUAUUUGUUUGUGCGCAUGUGUGUGUGUGUGUGUGUGUUUGAGAGAGAGAGAGAGGGAGAGAAGUGAGCUCUGGUGUGAGGUUCCCAAUGUUAAUCCAAGUCUCUGCCAACAAUGAGUCUGUCCUUUCUCACCGUCUCUCUGAUCGCCAUCCUCUGGCCCUGCUGGGGGACAGCCGAGCUGAUCUAUCAGUGGCCUCCGAGGACGGUGGUGAGAGAGAGCGACUCUGUGCUAUUGGGUUGUCACCAGAAUGACAGCAGUAAAGAUGUAAUGCUCUGGUACCAGCAGAGAGAUGGAGAGGGCCUGAGACUGAUCGGCUUUACCUACUAUCCGAGCCCACCGACUAUGGAGAAGGACGAGCAGAGUAAUUUUGAGAUCAUAUCGCAAGGUCAGACAACAUCUCGGCUGAACAUCUCAAUGGCAAUGAAGGAUAUCAUAACGCCAUAGAGAACACUUUUACAGACUAGGAGGAGAUAGG